UGUCCCUUUGAGACAUCCGAUAAACAUUGGAACGAUAUAGAGAAGAUCAGCAUGGCUCCUGCAAAAGGAUGACACACGUAAAUCGAGAAAUGGUUCACAUUUAA